rnacentral:rRNA from 1 species
UACGAAGGGGGCUAGCGUUGUUCGGAAUCGCUGGGCGUAAAGCGCACGUAGGCGGACUUUUAAGUCAGGGGUGAAAGCCUGAGGCUCAACCUCAGAACUGCCCUUGAUACUGGGAGUCUUGAGUAUGGUAGAGGUUGGUGGAACAGCAAGUGUAGAGGUGAAAUUCGUAGAUAUUUGCUAGAACACCAGUGGCGAAGGCGGCCAACUGGACCAUAACUGACGCUGAGGUGCGAAAGCGUGGGGAGCAAACAGG